GUGGUUCGCGGGCAAGCAGAUGCUGCCGGAGAAGAAGCUGAGCGAUUACCUGGGGCGCCACGAGAAGACGAAGGCGGUGGUAAAGCUGCAGAAGAAAGGGCAGGGGGCGCCAGCACGGGAGCCGGUGAGUAUGACUGGCGGAGGCGGAGAGCGGGUGGGAUGCGAGCCUGGGCCGGAGAUAGAGGUGCACGGGCGCAUUUACCCGGGGGACGCUGAUUUGGGUCGGAACCUGGUGUUGGUCUGGAGGGGUGGGGGCUCGAAGCCGACCUGGAUCGGCGGCUAAUGUUGAUGCAAGGGGGAGGAUUCUGCUUGGGGCCGUUCUCGCGAUGCACUAUGGCGGGAACCCUAGUAUGUACGAUGCGGUAGUAUUUACGAUGCGGUGCACCUCCCAUUACCUUGCCAGGUUGUGGAUCAAGAUACUCAAAAGGCCAUGAUGGCCUGGUACUACAAGAAGCAGGAGGAGCAGAAGGUGCGGUAUCUGGUGUGCGGUACGUGGCCGCGGGGAAGUGAAAGGAUGGGGCUGAGGGACUAGAAAUCGCCGACUUCGCACACCGAUGAUGGCAGCGGGCACUGAGUGCCUGGGGUCUAGCAUGCCUGGGAAAAACCAUGACAUGGCUCAUGGCCACCAGAAUGGGGGGUUAGGUAAUUUGUAAUUUGCAGCGAUUAAACGCUGCAGUCAAUUCAACAUUUGGCGGUUCUUAAGGGAGCUCGUUUGGUUCUCGUUGGGCGGAGCCGUAUGGAUCUUGCGGUUGGGCGGUUGGGUCCUUUGGAGGUGUGGGGGCGUAAUCGGGUCUUUAGCGCCCCUGAGGUGCAACGCUGGAGCAACAACGCAGCAGCACCAACAGCUAAGGUGCCGUAUGUAUGGCGCAACGACCGCCUCCCAGAGCCCCCUCGCGCCUCGCAGACUUAAGCAGGCUAAAGCAGGUUUCUCCUAUACUUGCCCUGCCAACGUAACCCCAGCAUGCUCCCCUUUCUGGCCCCACAUUGUUUUUUGACACGGCCACAGAAGCUGGUGGAAGACGACGACGACUCGUACACCAGCUCCUCCUGGGCCAACCCAAAUUCACUGAGGGCGCACUUUGCUGGAGUGCAGGCGGUGCGGCUACCCAAGUAACAGACAAGUUCAGAUACGGGCUGAACUAAUAUGACAGAUGACACGGGUUGGGGGACUUUUGGGUCUCCGCCCUCAUUUAGUAAUGGUUGUGGGUUCUGAGCCUCCCCUUUGGGUUCGGUUUUGGCUGUCUAGGUCACUUGCGUUGUCUGGUCUGGGUGGGAGUCUUGUUUGCCCUGCUGGUCUCAGGCACAGUAAUAUGCACGGCCAGCUGGCCCUCUGGAUCUACUCUUCUCGUGAGUCUGGAGCCCACUGUAACAGCCACACGCACGGGUUGUGUUCCGUGGGGUUGGAGCUGCUGGGGGGGGGUAGGUGCGUUUCUUGUCACGACAGGGCGUUUUAGGAGGCGUUCUUCGCCGUCCUAGGCUGCCGGGCGGGAGUAGAUUGUGGGUCGCAGGAGGCCGGAAGGCGGAUUCCAUCGUAUUGCUGCAGCGUUGGCGCCGGGUGAAGUGGAGGCCAAGGCGUAGCUCUGCUGGGAUAACCUCUCCUCGAUAGGCCCUGUAGCGGUGGCCGUUCCAAAGGGAGAAAUUGGGCAUCUAAUAGGGUGUGGGUGGGGUGCGAUGAAGGACUCACCAUCUUACAGGUGGGCGGGGUCAAGGGUUCCACCGGCACAGCAGCUCGGAGGACGCACGCAGUGUGGAGUCGGCAAAGGGGCCUGGGGUGGUGUGGCAGCGGAAGGCACGUGGGGUGAUGUCGAGCGGGCUUUAAAAUGCGGAUCGAGUAUUUGGCUGUGCUACUCGUCGUCGUAAUGCCUGCGGCGCCCCAGGCACUAUCAUGGCUUCCUCGGUAGUAGGUCGUGCAGGAGCUGCGAGGAAGGUCGAAAUCCUUCGCCCGCUCUGGCUGUUUGCCCACAAGACGUGGUGGUAUGUGCAGUAUGUGCGGCCCUCACUUGUCCAACGUGCGCGCUGGCGUGCGGAAUAUCACGUUUUUACACUGUCCAUGCCAACAUGACGCACGAACUACCCUGGUAACGUAGAUGUGCGGUUUAGGGCCAGCCCCGAAACGCUUUCAAGGCAAAUGCGGUACGCCAUACUAGGCCAUGCACACGGGGCAGCUUGGACAGACACCUUGAGAAAUACUUGACGACUUAAACAGCUCGUCCCUGAAGGGCCAAACAACCGUCCACCGCGUUGCCUGGGAGCAGGUAAGGCGCUAACCUUACCGGACCGCCAGGUCACAAUCACACAGCGGCAGAGGUUCUGCGGCGCACGUCCUUUGGCACAGCUGCCAGGGCCAGCUGCAAGCGCUCGCUUCCAACAUCUGAAGGCAUGGCGUGGGGUCUUCGUGUAACCUGUAGCUGAGCUUGCAACUGCGAACCCUGACACAAAGGGCCGUCUAUGCAUACCGCAUGACGUAACAUUACCGCGGAGCCCCUCGGCCGUCCCGGGCGUCUAUCAACUCAGGAGUAUCGUUACGUCAAGCUGAGACACGAUCCUUCCUCCAGGUCGUCGUAUUGCGUAUGUACCUGGGACAAGGAAAGCGACCAGGGUGCAAUUACGUGCCUAUUUGCGGCAACGCAAGCCUCUUAAGAGGCUGAUCUGGCAUAUUGAUCGCGGUUGUACAUGGCGAGUCGGAUGCAGUUCGCAUGUAUUCUCAUCCUGCCCUGCUCUGGCUCCGUCGCAAAGAAAACUUCCUAUGGUUGAACCCCGUUAUUCUGCCUCCCGAUGCCGC
rnacentral:lncRNA from 1 species